GGACCUUCUCCGUGUGCGCAUGCACACCGAGAAGCUAACUACGUUUUUAGACACUGUCAAAUGUGAAACGGGGGUGUGACAUUAACUUACGUAACACAAAAACGAUACCGGAGUAUAAGCUAGAAGCGCGGUUGAUGACGACGAAUCAGUGACGAGAGAGGAUCUGGGCUAUUUUGGCGCGCAGACAUACCGAUUCGGAAUCGCCGCCAGUUUCGUCUUACAAAAACAGAAGGAAAAAUGAAUGACGUAUUCGAGGCAGUGAUUCAUUUCAAUUAUUUGUUUGUUUUAUUGAUUUUGUUUAUCGUUGUCGCCGAGAAAGCGUUCGUGAGCAAAUGGGAAACUUUGAAUGAAUUGGUGGUGCAGGAGUAGGAGGCAAGGUUGUUAGGAGAAAUUUGAAAACGUGCAAGUUCGAGAGUUUCCUCCUAUGCGGGUUAACAUGUAUAUUUAUGUAUAAAUAAAAACAUACACACAAA